GUCGGAGCGAACAGAUAAGGAGCUUGCUCCUUUGACGUUAGCGGCGGACGGGUGAGUAACACGUGGGUAACCUACCUAUAAGACUGGGAUAACUUCGGGAAACCGGAGCUAAUACCGGAUAACAUUUGGAACCGCAUGGUUCUAAAGUGAAAGAUGGUUUUGCUAUCACUUAUAGAUGGACCCGCGCCGUAUUAGCUAGUUGGUAAGGUAACGGCUUACCAAGGCGACGAUACGUAGCCGACCUGAGAGGGUGAUCGGCCACACUGGAACUGAGACACGGUCCAGACUCCUACGGGAGGCAGCAGUAGGGAAUCUUCCGCAAUGGGCGAAAGCCUGACGGAGCAACGCCGCGUGAGUGAUGAAGGGUUUCGGCUCGUAAAACUCUGUUAUUAGGGAAGAACAAACGUGUAAGUAACUGUGCACGUCUUGACGGUACCUAAUCAGAAAGCCACGGCUAACUACGUGCCAGCAGCCGCGGUAAUACGUAGGUGGCAAGCGUUAUCCGGAAUUAUUGGGCGUAAAGCGCGCGUAGGCGGUUUCUUAAGUCUGAUGUGAAAGCCCACGGCUCAACCGUGGAGGGUCAUUGGAAACUGGGAAACUUGAGUGCAGAAGAGGAAAGUGGAAUUCCAUGUGUAGCGGUGAAAUGCGCAGAGAUAUGGAGGAACACCAGUGGCGAAGGCGACUUUCUGGUCUGUAACUGACGCUGAUGUGCGAAAGCGUGGGGAUCAAACAGGAUUAGAUACCCUGGUAGUCCACGCCGUAAACGAUGAGUGCUAAGUGUUAGGGGGUUUCCGCCCCUUAGUGCUGCAGCUAACGCAUUAAGCACUCCGCCUGGGGAGUACGACCGCAAGGUUGAAACUCAAAGGAAUUGACGGGGACCCGCACAAGCGGUGGAGCAUGUGGUUUAAUUCGAAGCAACGCGAAGAACCUUACCAAAUCUUGACAUCCUUUGAAAACUCUAGAGAUAGAGCCUUCCCCUUCGGGGGACAAAGUGACAGGUGGUGCAUGGUUGUCGUCAGCUCGUGUCGUGAGAUGUUGGGUUAAGUCCCGCAACGAGCGCAACCCUUAAGCUUAGUUGCCAUCAUUAAGUUGGGCACUCUAGGUUGACUGCCGGUGACAAACCGGAGGAAGGUGGGGAUGACGUCAAAUCAUCAUGCCCCUUAUGAUUUGGGCUACACACGUGCUACAAUGGACAAUACAAAGGGCAGCUAAACCGCGAGGUCAUGCAAAUCCCAUAAAGUUGUUCUCAGUUCGGAUUGUAGUCUGCAACUCGACUACAUGAAGCUGGAAUCGCUAGUAAUCGUAGAUCAGCAUGCUACGGUGAAUACGUUCCCGGGUCUUGUACACACCGCCCGUCACACCACGAGAGUUUGUAACACCCGAAGCCGGUGGAGUAACCAUUUAUGGAGCUAGCCGUCGAAGGUGGGACA
rnacentral:rRNA from 1 species